rnacentral:rRNA from 1 species
GACGAACGCUGGCGGCGUGCUUAAAACAUGCAAGUCGAGCGGAGCGGCGAACGGGUGAGUAACGCGUGAGUAACUGCCCCCCUCUCUGGGAUAACAGUUGGAAACGGCUGCUAAUACCGGAUAGUGGGGGAUGACUCGCGGCCUAUCAGCUUGUUGGUGGGGUAGUGGCCUACCAAGGCGACGACGGGUAGCCGGCCUGAGAGGGCGACCGGCCACAUUAGGCUGAGAUACGGACCAAACUCCUACGGGAGGCAAGCGUGGGGAAUAUUGCACAGUAGGGGAGACCCUGAUGCAGCGACGCCGCGUGCGGAAUGACGGCCUUCGUGUUGUGAACCGCUUUCAGCCAAGACGCGGUAGUGGCAGAAGAAGCACCGGCUAACUACGUGCCAGCAGCCGCGGUAAUUC